rfam:Blastocystis hominis, Singapore isolate B (sub-type 7) whole genome shotgun sequence assembly, scaffold_0
GGCCUUGUGGUCUAGUGGUAUGAUUCUCGCUUUGGGUGCGAGAGGUCCGGAGUUCGAUUCCCCGCUGGGCCC